UUCAUUGAGGCUACCAUUGGAUUUGCAUCCUCCAAACUAUAGCUUGGUCAUUGGAGCAUUGGGAGAAUAUUGAGGUUGCAUGCAAGGCCUAAUCCAUCACAAAGGCUUGGUUUAUUGCUGGGAAGUCUACAAGUGGAAAAGGAACACUGUGAUGAAUAACUAAAGGAGAAAACAUAACUAGAUAAGUGGCG